CACCCUCUCCCUCCCUCUGGAUCCACCGCCGCCGCACACAACUCCUCCUUCUGGAUCUCGACGCGCCGCCGCCCCCACCCCACUCCUCCGGCGUUCCCCACACAUUCUCACCGCUUAGAGACCCCCACCCUCGUGGAACCAACGCACCGGUGCCUCCUCCGAUCCAGAUCGACACGCCCCUUCCACCCCCCCCACCGUCGCCGCCCCGACCACCCCCCUUCCGCCACCCCCGCUCGCUCCGCCUAAUCCACCGCCGCCUAAUCCACCUAAGCCCGACCCAACCCGCCCAGCCCGCUCUCUUCCUCUGCCCUCUCCCUCCCCGAUUCCAUCCCAUCCCAACCCAUCGCCGCCCCUCGUCUCCCUUCCCCAUCGACGACCUCGCCGCCCUUCUCCCCCACCAGCGCCGACAAGAAAGAUCCAGCCAGAUCUGUCCAGUUCCAUGGCGACCGCCGACAACGCCCCCCGCUCCCGCAAGCGCGCCGAGGCCACCGUCCUCAAGCGCGCGCGUGCGACGGAAGCGGCUUCACCCGCUGCGAGGCGUGCAACAAGGACGUAGCCAUCGUCCUUAUCGACCUCCACAGCUGCAGCCUCGACUCCAAGAUACGCCUCAGCCUCGAGUCGCAGGUGGUGGAGAAGGCCGUGCUCGAGGCGGACCGGAAUAGUUCUGCUUGCAGGCCGGUCAUCAGAAAGCAAGAAGCCGAGCUAGAGAGUAAAUGACUCGUUAUCAUACAACAACGCGAUACCGGAUGGGUUCUACUUGAUCCAAGGGAUGGGCCCCUUUGUGUGGUUGAUGUGCACCGACGUGCAUGAGGAGAACCGGAUACCCUCAGUGGAGUCGCUCAAGUCUGUCUGCCCUGACGAUUCUUCCAUCCAGAUGAUCCUUGUUGACAAGAGAGUCGAUUUUGAUUGACUCGCUGCAUGCCUAAUUGAUUGAGUCAUUCUGCUUCGUCAAGGGAGUUCCUGCUCCACUCGCAAGGAUCGACCAUUACUGUGGGAGCCUCUCACCUCUUCUGGCGGCCUUCUGUUCUUGUUCCAGUUCGCAAGGAGACUGCAGCAGAAGCAGAGAAGACGGAUGCUACACCAAUCCAAGAGUAGAUAGCUUUAACUUGGCAGAGCGUUUUAUUUUUCAAUCGCAAUAUUUGUGAUUGUGUGGAGUAUUGUAUGGUUAUGUACGUGAAGUUUUAAGUUCCUGGGCAUGCAAUAUUUGUAGGUUAAACUGGUUGUUGUGAUGUGAACGAGUGUAUGGAGUUUCACAUGUUUUGUUCUGUACAGAAUAUAUUGUAAUAAACCUAUUUUGGUUGUUAUUUGAAGAUUU